UUUAUACUCCCCCCGUCCCAAAAUGCUUGUCGGAAGAAUGGAUGUAUCUAGAUGUAUUUUAGUUCUAGAUGCAUUUAUUUUUAUGCAUUUCUCCGACAAGUUUUUCCGGACGGAGGGAGUACAUC
rfam:Triticum urartu cultivar G1812 contig1126395, whole genome shotgun sequence.